CUUCUACCUAAACAAGUCGUUGCUUCUUCUUUUCCUGUACAGUAAGCGCACGCCGGCAGCGAUAGAUCGUAUCUGAAAGAAAAUCAAAAGUAAAACUCUACUAAACUCAAUUCCUCGUCACUAAGAAAUGCAAAACUCAAUUAAACAUAAUAAAAUCGAAAGUGGAAUGAGAGGAAAAUCAAAAGAAAAGGAGAAAAAGAACGGAGUAGCUGAAUCAUGAAAGUCUGACACAGCAGCCACCCAUUACCGACACCCUUGGUUGCGCCGCCUGCUCCUUUUGUGAUUCUUUCACUGCUUCCUCUGUUGUAUAAAGACCUCUCCUUAUCUAUCUCCUAUUUUAGAUCUGUCUAGAUUAUAUAAAAGGAGUGAAAAUCUUUAGGUACUUUCCUGGGCAUACUACUACUGUAUAUGACUCUGCAGUUUAAUUCAAGAGUUGUUUCAGAAAUGGAUGUCAUCAGUGGAAGAAUGAUAAGGAGAGACCUGUAUUAAUGAAGCUAAUAGAGAGAUUGCAAGGAGAUACAAACAACGGCUAACGUAAUAUCAGGUCAUGUUAUAUGGAGAGACUCUCCAGUGGUAGUGUAGAAGGAGAGAUGCUUCAUUCCGAGAUGAUGAAUUGUAAAGUUUAAUGCACAAAAAAAUAAAAUUCAUUAUCAUUUUUUUUUUUCCA